GGAUGUGAGGGUGAUCUGGCUACAACAUCUGCCACCCCAUUGAUUGCCAGGGUUGAUUCAGCUGAUCUGGCAGGCUAGGCAGUUGUCCCCUUCCUUUUUCACUACUCCAUGUGUGUCUCUCUCAAGAUCUUUAGGGGUGCCCCCUCCCCACUCUCUGUCACUCCCAAGAUGGUGGACCUGACCUCCAUGGAGAAACUACCCAGCCUCUGGAACUAGGAGAAUAAGGCCCAAGAGCAGGCAGCCCACCUGAAGAAACUACAGAAAUAAGAAAAACAACAGAAAGUGGAGUUAAGAGGUGUCAGAUUUC
rnacentral:sRNA from 1 species